rnacentral:rRNA from 1 species
UAUACCUUCGGGUGUAAUGAGAGUGGCAGACGGGUGAGUAACGCGUAGAUAUCUGCCUGUAUGGUAGGGGAUAGCUCAUCGAAAGGUGGGGUAAUACCGCAUAGUCCUUACGAGGUAAAGGCGAAAGCCGCUAUAAAAGAAGUCUGCGUCCUAUCAGGUAGUUGGUGGGGUAAAGGCCUACCAAGCCGAUGACGGGUAGCCGGUGUGAAAACACGACCGGCCACAAGGUCACUGAGACACGGGACCUACAUCUACGGAUGGCAGCAACCGGGAAUUUUGCGCAAUGGGCGAAAGCCUGACGCAGCGACACCGCGUGUGGGAAGAAGUUCUUCGGAAUGUAAACCACUGUGGCAGAGGAAGAAUUUUUGACUGUACUCUGCUAGAAAGCACCUGCUAACCACGUGCCAGAAGCCUCGGUUAAUACGUGGGGUGCAAGCGUUAUCCGGAUUUACUGGGCCUUAAAGAGUUCCGUCGGCGUUCUUUGUAAGUUUACUUGUUUUAAGCCC